rnacentral:rRNA from 1 species
AUUGAACGCUGGCGGCAGGCUUAACACAUGCAAGUCGAGCGGAGAUGAGGUGCUUGCACCUUAUCUUAGCGGCGGACGGGUGAGUAAUGCUUAGGAAUCUGCCUAUUAGUGGGGGACAACAUUCCGAAAGGAAUGCUAAUACCGCAUACGUCCUACGGGAGAGAGCAGGGGAUCUUCGGACCUUGCGCUAAUAGAUGAGCCUAAGUCGGAUUAGCUAGUUGGUGGGGUAAAGGCCUACCAAGGCGACGAUCUGUAGCGGGUCUGAGAGGAUGAUCCGCCACACUGGGACUGAGACACGGCCCAGACUCCUACGGGAGGCAGCGGUGGGGAAUAUUGGACAAUGGGGGGAACCCUGAUCCAGCCAUGCCGCGUGUGUGAAGAAGGCCUUAUGGUUGUAAAGCACUUUAAGCGAGGAGGAGGCUACUGAGACUAAUACUCUUGGAUAGUGGACGUUACUCGCAGAAUAAGCACCGGCUAACUCUGUGCCAGCAGCCGCAGUAACAC